rnacentral:lncRNA from 10 species
AGGGGAUCAUCAUUUGUAUUAAAAGAGAAAUCCCCAAAUCAGAACUGGUUUAAUUCCAACCUAAUUUUGGCUACUUAAGGAGAGUAAGAAUUAAAGAAGUAACAACCAGUUUUUAGUGGAUCUGAGAAUGAAAAAGUUAACCGUUUGAUUUCAUUGGGGCCUAUUCCACAUUAGUUUAUUUGAAUCUUGUAUUCCAGCAAAGGCAAUAAGUUCCUAUGAAACCAGUUCUUAGUAUUAAGCUCAUCCAUUUGGUGCCUCUGCCAACUGUAUGGAGUUGUCUCAUGAAGUCUGAGUGAGAUGUUGUCUAUUGAAGUGCUUUAGUGUAUUGCAUGAUACAAAAUUGCAGCUCAAUAAAAAUUGAUCUUAUCAAAAUUUGAAAAUCAAACUUAAUGCUUUUAAGAGAGUGUGGUUUGCUUGCUUGUUUUGACAUAUAAGCCCCUAAAAUAUAUUUCCUAAAAGAGGGAUUUAAUCUGACGACAUGCACAGAGAUGUGCAAUGAUGUAUAUGUAAGGGGAAUUCUUCACAACAAAUCUAGUAUCCCUGGAAAACAGGAUGUUUUCUGUACCAAAAGAACAUGGAGAGAUACUUCCACAGCUAAGUAGUCAGAUGUUAUAAACAGAAUUGAAUAUUUUGGGAAAUUCUCAACCUCUCAUCUUACAUUUGGCCACGGAAUGCCUGCAGGAAACAAAACAACCAAAAUGAAUUCAGAGCCCAGCGUAGAUGGGUACAUCAAGGGAAAUCCUGGCUGUCAGGAGGGUGACAGCUCCUGUGCAAGCCACACUGCUGUUGUGUGUGUAGCAGAAGGAAAGCCUACCCUCCCUGCACCACAUCCCACGCAGCCCACACCAACUCUGCCUCUCCAUGCACUGCCCACCCAGACCUGCAAUUAGCACAUUCAUCAGUGUGCCUGGUGUUUCCUGGUGAUGGAGGGCCCUGAGGUGCUCCAUUUAGGAGUUAGGCUCUGCCACCUAUAGCUCUCCUUGAGCCCAUCUAUUUUCUCCCAUUCAGAUGUACACCUUUUGUUGCAUGCAAUGAAUUUUCUGAUUUCUGCGUAGUCAUUAGAGGGAGAGACCUCACAUUAGGAAAAUGACCAUCACAAUAAGCAUGCCUAUUGGCUACCUUAACUUGAAACAGGAAC